UACGGAGGGUGCAAGCGUUAUCCGGAUUUACUGGGUUUAAAGGGUGCGUAGGUGGGUAGGAAAGUCAGUGGUGAAAUCUUCGGGCUUAACCCGGAAACUGCCAUUGAUACUAUUUAUCUUGAAUACUUUGGAGGUAAGCGGAAUAUGUCUGUAGCGGUGAAAUGCUUAGAUAUGACAUAGAACACCAAUUGCGAAGGCAGCUUACUACACAGUUAUUGACACUGAGGCACGAAAGCGUGGGGAUCAAACAGG
rnacentral:rRNA from 1 species